UACGUAGGGUGCAAGCGUUAAUCGGAAUUACUGGGCGUAAAGCGUGCGCAGGCGGCUUUGCAAGACAGAUGUGAAAUCCCCGGGCUUAACCUGGGAACUGCAUUUGUGACUGCAUGGCUGGAGUGCGGCAGAGGGGGAUGGAAUUCCGCGUGUAGCAGUGAAAUGCGUAGAUAUGCGGAGGAACACCGAUGGCGAAGGCAGCCCCCUGGGCCAACACUGACGCUCAUGCACGAAAGCGUGGGGAGCAAACAGG
rnacentral:rRNA from 1 species